CAUCUCUGCCCGAGUGCAGGUUAUAUUCAAGAUGGCGAGCUUUCUGAGGGGUCAGUUAUCUUGUUUGUGCCGUAUUAAAACAGUCCAUAUGAACUCUUAUCCAGCAAUUUGUAGAUAUUCUGAUAACAUUAUCGAUAGACCUGACAUGGGCCCACCAAUACCGCCAUACCAGAGACGACAAGGCGAAACAAUUGAUGUGAAGAAAGCAAGAUUACUCUACCAAAGCAGG